AACGUGGAAGAAGCAUUGUCAAGAAAUAUGGUGUUAUCUUCACUUGCUUAGCAAUUCGUGCAGUGCACAUCGAAGUGGCUUCUUCAUUGGAUACUGAUUCCUGUAUAAAUGCUAUACGUCGAUUUGUAGCCAGAAGAGGACAAGUGAAAGUUAUCAGGUCAGACAAUGGGACCAAUUUUGUAGCUGCCGAGCGUGAAUUAAGACAAUCCAUUGAAAAAUGGAACAACGAAAAGAUUCAGGACCAUCUCAGCCAGCAAGGAAUUAAGUGGGUUUUCAAUCCUCCCACUGGGUCUCACCAUGGCGGGGCAUGGGAGAGAUUGAUACGCUCAAUAAGAAAAAUCCUUAAUGCUACAAUCAGAGAACAAGUUCUUGAUGAGGAAUGCCUUCAAACUGUUUUCUGUGAGGCAGAGGCUAUAAUUAACAGUCGUCCAAUAACAGCAACAUCAAGCGACAUAAACGAUCUGGAAGCUUUGACUCCAAAUCACUUGUUGUUACUCAAGACAAAACCAUCGUUGCCUCCAGGACUGUUUGACAAAGACAACCUGUAUUCUAGACGCAAAUGGAAACAGGUGCAGUAUGUUUCUGAUUUGUUUUGGAAACGUUGGUGUCGUGAAUAUUUGCCACAACUGCAACAGAGACAAAAGUGGAAUAACACAAGAAGAAACUUCUCUGUUGGAGACAUUGUUCUGGUAGUUGAUGACUCCGCCCCUAGAAAUUCCUGGAUGUUAGCAAGAGUUAUUGAAACUAUUCCUGACAAGAAGGGUCUCGUUCGACAAGUCCGCAUUAAAACAAAAACCAACAUUUUGGAAAGACCCAUAACAAAACUUUGCCUGUUGCAGGAGGCAGAAUGAGUAGUGAAGGCAAUAUGUCUAUAGGAACCUAAAUUUGUGUUGCUUUGGACUUUAAGAAUUUACAUUGGAUAUUAAAAUAAUAUGGCUCCUUCUGUAUACAUUUAAGUAAUUGUUUCAAAGAGUUUGAGAACAAUUAGGGGCCGGUAAUGUAGGAGCCUAUUUUGAUUA
ensembl:lncRNA